GCAAGGUUUUGAUUGGCGAGCCCUCGGCCUCGGUGAUUUGGAAGGGCUUCACGGCCGUACAUAAAUAUAACGGAAGUCUCAUCUUCGCUUUCCGUCACGUUUAAUCUAAACUUAUCUGCAUCCGUCUGUCAUUGCUACCAUAGAUCGCUGCCCACGUCGCCCAUAGCUUCCUGAAGCAGGACUGGACAGUGCACGGUACCCUUAACUCUAGCUUCAAGUUAUCUGCUGUCUGAGCUAUUCCUAAAUAUUCCCCUUACCUUUCGGCAGGCAAAUUAAAACUCUUCAUUGUCGGACCUCUCGAGAAUGCCGACUACAGUGAGGCCAUAAGAGGCGUCGAUGCUGUGGUCCACAUCGCCUCUCCUGUAGAGUUCGGUGGAGAGGAGUUUAGAGAGGGCCACUUGAAACCUGCUUUGGAGGGAACGAGGGGGGUUUUCAAGGCUGUGGCCGAAUAAGUCCGUGGCCUACACUAGUACUUUAUGGAGCCGCUGGUAAUCAUAGGUAUCACGCCACCGAAAUCCAUGGCAAAAUCAUCACUGAAGAUAACUGGAACCCGUAUACCCUGGAAGAGUUGAAUAGGAUGGCCGAAUCUGGAGAGUCAGGAACUUGAAACUCAUGAUGGUCGAUGUUGUCUGAUUCCCUCUUGCAGUAACCUUACAUAUCCUUGUGGAUAUCUAUUCUAUAUGGAAGCCAAGAAGUACGCAGAACUCGCUGAUGGGAAUGUCAGUAAGAAGCGAGGCAUCAACGUGCUGAGUGGUCUUUGGCCAUUAUGAACUGUGCGAUGAUCUGGGGGCUCCCGAGUAAAUAACCUCACGCAAAGACUAGGGUGGCCCAGCUCAUUUGGAUAUUCCUGCAAGUUCAACCUCUCACGUGACUCAGUCGCGGGGGCAUGUCAACCGAGUUCCUUUGGAUGCUCGCAAGUGGGAAAGAUGGGCGUAUCAUGGACAGUCUCUAUCCUUAUAUGUCGAUGUUAGUUGCCAUUCAGUUCCGCACCUUUGUGGCACACAUAUACUGAGGCUCGGUGGGUUCGAGAUGCCGCUGAAGCACACUAUCAGGCCACCAUCCGUAGGGCUCAGGGAAGGUAUAAUAUCUCCGCCGGGCGGGAGUUGACACUGUUAUAAUUGCCCAGUCGCUGCAAUACAUGUAGCUAACAAUAUAUAUUCAACAGCUUAUGAUUUCCAAGAAUUCGCAGACAUGCUUAGGGAACUUUAUCCUGAGCGAACAGAACGAUUCGUCCUUGGUACUCCCGGCAAAUAAAUGUAUAGUGAUCCAGGCGUGUACGUCUGCACAAAUGACAAGAGUCAAAAGGAGCUUGGUAUAACCUACCAUCCAAAACAACAGGCCCUCAAAGACGCAUUCGACAGGUCUUUGCUCUGGAGAUGCAAGGGUUGAAGUACGAAAAUUCGCCUUCCAUUUGCCGAUUCGACUCCAGGUCCGUCAUCUAUCUAGAAGAAAAAAAUGUAAAUAAGAAUUGCUGUACACAACUUGCCGGAGUUCAGUGAAAUUGUAAGAUCUGCAUAAAUUAUAAACGAAGGCAGUCAUCAUUUCACAUCAUCGUCGGCCACCCGAAUGCAGACAUUAAUUGUCACAGUCAGGCAUAGCUGGCGGUUAUGUUGAGAGUUUCACAUUUGCAUGGAAAGGAAAAAGAAGGAAUAAAGUAUUUAAUAUAUA